rfam:Triticum aestivum genome assembly, contig: Triticum_aestivum_CS42_TGACv1_scaffold_556574_7AL
UAGAUACUCCCUCCGUCCGGAAAAGCUUGCCCCAAGCUUAUUGCUCAAAUGGAUGUAUCUAGCACUAACUUAAUGCUAGAUACAUUCAUUCGAGGGACAAGCUUUUUCGAACGAAGGGAGUAGAUG